UACGUAGGGGGCGAGCGUUGUCCGGAUUUAUUGGGCGUAAAGAGCUCGUAGGCGGUUUGGCAAGUCGGGUGUGAAAACUCCGGCUCAACUCGGAGACGCCACUCGAUACUGCCAUGACUCGAGUCCGGUAGGGGAGUGCGGAAUUCCUGGUGUAGCGGUGGAAAUGCGCAGAUAUCAGGAGGAACACCGGUGGCGAAGGCGGCACUCUGGGCCGGUACUGACGCUGAGGAGCGAAAGCGUGGGGAGCGAACAGG
rnacentral:rRNA from 1 species